UUGCAGUCAAUAUAUCAGUUCUAUCAUUACUAUUGCACGUUUCAUUAGUUUUCUCCAUUAUGGAACUUGGUGGAAGUCCUGUAUGUGAUGCAUCUUUUGACAUAUCUUUAUCAAUUGAUUUAUCAAAAGCAUCUUUUUCCACAAAUUUUGUUGUUAUGGAAGUACGUGCUUUUGUGGACAUAGAAUUGUCAACAGCGUUUGAUAUAUCCAAGGUGUUUUUGAUACUUUAGUAGCGUUCCGCGAUUGUGAAUCUACAUUAUCAGAUUUGGGUAUUCGUUGAAGCUUUGGAGGGCUUAGAUUUACUUGAUGUUUUGAUUUUGUAUUUUGUGCACCUAGCAUACUGAUUGGUAUCAGUGGAGGAGGAGUCAAAGAUGGAUUCGUUUGAGAUUGAUGAG
rnacentral:misc_RNA from 1 species